rnacentral:rRNA from 1 species
GAUGAACGCUGGCGGCGUGCCUAAUACAUGCAAGUCGAGCGAACAGACGAGGAGCUUGCUCCUCUGACGUUAGCGGCGGACGGGUGAGUAACACGUGGAUAACCUACCUAUAAGACUGGGAUAACUUCGGGAAACCGGAGCUAAUACCGGAUAAUAUAUUGAACCGCAUGGUUCAAUAGUGAAAGACGGUUUUGCUGUCACUUAUAGAUGGAUCCGCGCCGCAUUAGCUAGUUGGUAAGGUAACGGCUUACCAAGGCGACGAUGCGUAGCCGACCUGAGAGGGUGAUCGGCCACACUGGAACUGAGACACGGUCCAGACUCCUACGGGAGGCAGCAGUAGGGAAUCUUGCGCAAUGGGCGCAAGCCUGACGGAGCAACGCCGCGUGAGUGAUGAAGGUCUUCGGAUCGUAAAACUCUGUUAUUAGGGAAGAACAAAUGUGUAAGUAACUAUGCACGUCUUGACGGUACCUAAUCAGAAAGCCACGGCUAACUACGUG